GUGGACCGCCCCCUCCGCAAAGAUAUGUCUGCAUCCCAGAACCCGUGAAUGCGACUGUAUUUGGAAAAAGUGUCUUUGCAGAUGUAAUUAAAUUAAGGAUCCCAAGACGAGAACAUCCUGAAUUAUCCAGACUUUCACUUUCCCAGAACCCGCCACCACCUUGCAGUGCCUGCAUCCCUUUGGAGUCAUCUGCAGUGUGGCAUUCCAUGUCGUUAUCACCAAGCUAAGAGUGUUGACAAACAAGACGAAAUAUCUUCAUACUUCUAAUUUAAGAGCAUCCUUCCCCACUGACAGUGUGGUUAUGAGAACCAGAGUUGAGAUUGAACAAAGGUGCCUGGAGCCAACACAUGCUCUACCAGAGAA